GUACACACACACACACACACGGCCAUGCACACUUUGACCCCCUAGAAUCCUCAAACAAUUUAUAACACCACCACUCCAGAAGAGCAUAAUACUGUGUGUGUGUGUGUGUGUGUGUGUGUGUGUGUAC